GACUACCGGGGUAUCUAAUCCCAUUCGCUACCCACGCUUUCGUGCUUCAGUGUCAGAUGUGUGCCAGUGUACUGCCUUCGCAUUUGGUGUUCCCUAUGAUAUCAACGGAUUUCACCCCUACACCAUAAGUUCCGUACACCUCUCACACUCUCUUAGUUGUGCCGUUUCAAGUGCUGGUCCAAAGUUAAGCUCUGGGAUUUAACACUUGACUAACACUACCACCUACGCACCCUUUACGCCCAGUGAUUCCGGAUAACGCUUGGGGCUCUCGUAUUACCGCUCCUGCUGGCACGAGAUUGGGAGCCCCUUAUUCCUGAGGUACCGUCAAUAAACUUCUUCCCUCAUAAAAGACCUUUACGUCCCGAAGGACUUCAUCAGUCACGCGGCGUCGCUCCAUCAGACUUUCGUCCAUUGUGGAAGAUUCUCGACUGCAGCCCCCCGUAGG
rnacentral:rRNA from 1 species